UACGUAGGUGGCAAGCGUUGUCCGGAUUUAUUGGGCGUAAAGCGAGCGCAGGCGGUUCCUUAAGUCUGAUGUGAAAGCCCACGGCUCAACCGUGGAAGGUCAUUGGAAACUGGGGAACUUGAGUGCAGAAGAGGAGAGUGGAAUUCCAUGUGUAGCAGUGAAAUGCGUAGAUAUAUGGAGGAACACCAGUGGCGAAGGCGACUCUCUGGUCUGUAACUGACGCUGAGGCUCGAAAGCGUGGGGAGCAAACAGGAUUA
rnacentral:rRNA from 1 species